GAAUAGUAAAGGGGGAGCUGCUAACUUUCUAUUAGCGAAAAGCUACUAUGUG
rnacentral:tRNA from 1 species